GACGAACGCUGGCGGCGUGCCUAACACAUGCAAGUCAACUUGACUGAAGGAGCAAUCUGACAGUAGAGUGGCGCAAGGGUGCGUAACGCGUAAGUAACUUGCCCAAGGUAAGGAAUAACGUCGAGAAAUCGGCGCUAAUACCUCAUAAUGCAGCGGAUCCGCAUGGAUAUGUUGUUAAAGGUUUACCGCCUUGGGAUAGGCUUGCGUCUGAUUAGCUAGUUGGUGUGGUAACGGCACACCAAGGCUACGAUCAGUAACUGGUCUGAGAGGAUGAUCAGUCACACUGGAACUGAGACACGGUCCAGACUCCUACGGGAGCAGCAGUGAGGAAUAUUGGGCAAUGCUCGAAAGAGUGACCCAGCAACGCCGCGUGGAGGAUGAAGGUAUUCUAUAUCGUAAACUCCUGUGAGAGCAGACGAAAGACAGAUUAUUAAUCUGGAUGACUGUAUGCUCAGAGGAAG
rnacentral:rRNA from 1 species